GCGACCCCAGGAUGGGCGAGGCCACCCGCCGAGUUUAAGCAUAUCAU
rnacentral:rRNA from 1 species